GCACAAGCGGUGGAGCAUGUGGAUUAAUUCGAUGCAACGCGAAGAACCUUACCUGGGCUUGACAUGGACUAGAAAUCCUCAGAGAUGAGGGCUCCCUUGUGGCUGGUUCACAGGUGGUGCAUGGCUGUCGUCAGCUCGUGUCGUGAGAUGUUGGGUUAAGUCCCGCAACGAGCGCAACCCUCGUUCCAUGUUGCCAGCACGUAAUGGUGGGGACUCAUGGGAGACUGCCGGGGUCAACUCGGAGGAAGGUGGGGAUGACGUCAAGUCAUCAUGCCCCUUAUGUCCAGGGCUUCACACAUGCUACAAUGGCCGGUACAAAGGGCUGCUAAGCCGUGAGGUGGAGCGAAUCCCAUAAAGCCGGUCUCAGUUCGGAUCGGGGUCUGCAACUCGACCCCGUGAAGUCGGAGUCGCUAGUAAUCGCAGAUCAGCAACGCUGCGGUGAAUACGUUCCCGGGC
rnacentral:rRNA from 1 species